rnacentral:rRNA from 1 species
UACGUAGGGGGCAAGCGUUAUCCGGAUUCACUGGGCGUAAAGGGAGCGCAGGCGGCACGGCAAGUCUGGUGUGAAAGCCCGGGGCCCAACCCCGGGACUGCAUUGGAAACUGCCGGGCUGGAGUGCCGGAGGGGUAAGCGGAAUUCCUGGUGUAGCGGUGAAAUGCGCAGAUAUCAGGAAGAACACCGGUGGCGGAGGCGGCUUACUGGACGGCAACUGACGCUGAGGCUCGAAAGCGUGGGGAGCAAACAGG